rnacentral:misc_RNA from 1 species
UUCUAGACUUGCUUUGCAUGUUGGGCUCUCCGCGCUUAUGUGCGGCCAACCGACAUGGGGCUGUCUCUUCACUCUCCCUCCGGUCAGCAUGUUUGCCGGGCUGGGAUGCUUUUUUUCGGUUGCCUGUGUGGUCCUACCCUUUUGUGGUAGCGAAGUCGUCCCUUGAUAGAUUUUUGCUUGCCCUGCUGGCGUUGUUUUGUCAGCUGGGCAGCCGAAAUGUUGGUGGAAUCCUUGUGUUAUUACGUGGGCGAAAGCCUUGUUACUGUCACUUGGAUUUUUGCCGGCUCUCACGGAUGCUGUGCCCAUUGUUAGCUCUGCGGGCCUCCGUCCCGCAGACUUCGGGAGGUCCCUUGUACGGAUCAUUGCUCUGGCGCUCGACUUGCAUGUCAUCGAUGSUGACAUGUUCGAUCUAUGCGCGAGGAGCAUGCCUAUGUGCAUGCGGAAAGCUUCUCCGAUUGAAUGAGCAGCGAUUGUCGGUUUUCGUCAUGAUACGGGCCUCCCGUUUCGGGUUGGUGCUGGAAAUGACGUGCCGGCUCUCGUUUAAGACGUGC